CACAGGCAGAAGGAGAAGCAGGCUCCAUGUAGGGAGCCCAAUGCGGGACUGGAUUCCGGGGCCGCGGGAUCACGCCCUGAGCCAAAGGCAGAUGCCCAACCGCUGAGCCACCCAGGCGUCCCAGAAGUCCUACAUUUCAAACCAGGGCUCCAAGGAAAUAGAGGAUGCCACCCAUAGCCUCCUUUGAUACCAAGACAUCUUUUGGGAGUGCCUCCAGGGUCACUUCAUGUCCUUUGUCUAGAGCCCCUUCAAGCUGUGGGAAAAGGGGCACGAGGGGAGCAGUGGCAGCCAGGCAGGCUGGGGGUACUUGGCCAGCCUCUAGGAAGACAUCCACUAUCAAUUCUCCAGGCCCACUGACCACCUUCUGUCACAUCAGAUCCCCUGUGAGUUACAACAC